CAAGUCGAACGAGAUCCAUGGUGUAGCAAUACACCGGAAGAUCUAGUGGCGAACGGGUGAGGAACACGUGAGAAACCUGCCCCAGACUCUGGGAUAACAAGUGGAAACGCUUGCUAAUACCAGAUGACGUCGGAGAACCGCAUGGUUCGCUGACGAAAGGAAUUCUGGUUUGGGAGGGUCUCGCGGCCUAUCAGCUUGUUGGUGGGGUAACGGCCUACCAAGGCUACGACGGGUGGCUGGUCUGAGAGGAUGAUCAGCCACACUGGGACUGAGACACGGCCCAGACUCCUACGGGAGGCAGCAGUGGGGAAUCUUGCGCAAUGGGCGAAAGCCUGACGCAGCAACGCCGCGUGCGGGAUGAAGGCUUUCGGGCUGUAAACCGCUUUCAGCAGGAACGAAACUGACGGUACCUGCAGAAGAAGGAGCGGCCAACUACGUGCCAGCAGCCGCGGUGACACGUAGGCUCCAAGCGUUGUCCGGAUUUAUUGGGCGUAAAGAGCUCGUAGGCGGUUGAGUAAGUCGGGUAUGAAAACUUUGGGCUUAACCCGGAGACGCCACUCGAUACUGCUCUGACUUGAGUUCAGGAGGGGAGUGGGGAAUUCCUAGUGUAGCGGUGAAAUGCGCAGAUAUUAGGAGGAACACCGGUGGCGAAGGCGCCACUCUGGACUGAAACUGACGCUGAGGAGCGAAAGCAUGGGUAGCAAACAGGAUUAGAUACCCUGGUAGUCCAUGCCGUAAACGGUGGGCACUAGGUGUGGGUUCCAACUAACGGGAUCCGCGCCGUCGCUAACGCAUUAAGUGCCCCGCCUGGGGAGUACGGUCGCAAGACUAAAACUCAAAGGAAUUGACGG
rnacentral:rRNA from 1 species